rnacentral:rRNA from 1 species
GAACUUAAGCCCCAGUAAACGGCGGCCGUAACUAUAACGGUCCUAAGGUAGCGAAAUUCCUUGUCGGGUAAGGUCCGACCCGCACGAAAGGCGUAACGAUUUGGGCACUGUCUCAACAACAGACUCGGUGAAAUUGUAAUUCCGGUGAAGAUGCCGGAUACCUGCGACAGGACGGAAAGACCCCAUGGAGCUUUACUGUAGCUUGACAUUGGGUCUUGGUACUACAUGUACAGGAUAGGU